ensembl:lncRNA
GUCGGGUGCCAAGAUGAGCAUUGCAGACACUACGGGUUUGGUGAGCGCCGAGAAACGGGUGGCCAAAAUAAACGAUGGCUAGCCGAGAAAACGGGCCUAGAGCUAUCUUGAAGACUGGAUAGAAUUUGUAUGGAUGGCGAGGAGGGGAGAGGACGUUCAAGGCACAGAGGUGGGGCAGGGUGUGGCAUGUUGGGAGACAGCGGUGGCUCGGUGGCUCUUGGGUGAGGCCCUCGGUCGCUCUGACUGCUUCCUCAUCUGCAGACCGGGGCUUGGGCUGGAUGAGGCCGCCGUUUUCUUUCCCCUUCAGCAGAAAACCUGUGCUUUAUUCUUUCAGCACCUGGCUUAUGCCUAACAUCUACACUCGGAAUGAAUGAAUGAUUGACCGAACAAUUUAACUAAACAUCAAGCCAAUGAGAAAAGGAGAACAGAUACCUGAAUAAGAUAAUUUAGUAUUUUAAAGUUUUCAGGGCGCUUUCCUGUCACCACUGGUGUCUUCCCUGUGACAGCCCUGGAGGCGGAGAGUGUGGGUUUCAUUGGUCCCACCUGACAAGUAAGGAAACCGAGGCGUGGAGUGUGCUCGGCGGAUCAGCGACGUCCCCGAAUGGCGAGUUUGGGAAGGAACUGAGCCCGAUGGCUCUGCCCUGCUGGGUUCCCCAUCUCGGGCACCUGUCGCCUGCAGUGAGGGUGCCCUCGGUCCUGCUACUGAGGUGGUGGGGACGGUGCCUGGAGCACUUACCAGAAUGAACUGGUGUUUGAGGUCCCUGUGAGCGGCCUGUGGUGGUCUCUCACUGUGUUCUGAACUCGAGCUGGGGAAGAGGAGUGCUGUUUAUUGUCUCUCCAAAACCCCAGCAGAGAUGUUAAGCAACUUGCUCAGGUAACCUCAGGCUUUACCUGGGGUCCCCUGGCAAUCAGCCGCCUACUCUUUCCAACUGGAGGAACCCUGUCAGAGAGGAAUGGGAGAAGUGGGAGAGGGGGCCUGUGGGCUAGAUGCACAAGAUUGUUCUCUGGUCAUGUAAGUUUGGGAAACGACAAUGGUUUAAAGUUCUGUCAGGUUCUGUUCUGCAGGACUUAUCAGAGCCAUCAAUCACAACUACACUCUGGAUCUCCAAGUGGAGAUAGAUGGAACAGGCAUCAUCUUCCAGACUUGUUGGACCACAUGGGUGAAUGUGAGGGUCUCAAUGCCACUGUUGCCCGUUUGGGGAAAUGUUGCUGCAGACGUCCACUUGAUUCUGGGAGGUGGCAUGGUGGAGUGGGAAGACGGAAGGCUUAGCUUCACCACAAAGGGCUCAGGUACCCAAAGAGGUGCAGGCACUGAGAGAUUUACAAGAAAAGAUCAAUGGAGAAGUAACCAUUCAGUUGACUACAGGAUUCUCUGAGCUGCAAAAUGACCCACCAGGUUUCUUUAAGUUGCAAGCCCCUGCUGGUCUCUCUCCUUCAGGCUGAUUUAAACUAAGGCCGAACUCACGAUAUGAUGGCAGGUGCUGGAGCAGCUAUCUUGGACCGUGUGAUAAAAGUUACUGAUUGAGAAUGGCAGAGCAAUAAGACGGAUGGAAUCUGGGGCUUCAAAACCAUGAAACUGCCAUGUUAGCCCUGGACUGCUUAAGUUAUUAUUGUCACAUGGAGGAGAAAUAAACUUCCAGUGGGUUUAAGCCAUUGUUAUUUUGAUCUUUAGUUACAGCAACUGAACUGCUUCACUUUGCAUAGCUACUUCUAACCAUCCUUCAAAAGCUACCUGAGGGCCACUUCUCCCAGGAAGCAUCCCUUGAUUGUACCAACGAUAGCCUGCCUCACGUACCACAUUACCCAUCCCAGAGCAUGUUGCCUCAACCAAAUCUUGAUGCGCCGAAUUCUAUUUUAUUUAAUGUUAUCACUCCAAUAUAGGGCAUGGCACACAUCAGGAGGCAUGGAAAGACGGUGAUUGAGUUGGGUUGUGACUGUCCUUUGUUCAUGGUUGGUUUGAUGUCCCUUUCACAGCAUAGUACCUUCCAG